rnacentral:rRNA from 3 species
CCUGGCGGCAGUAGCGCGGUGGUCCCACCUGACCCCAUGCCGAACUCAGAAGUGAAACGCCGUAGCGCCGAUGGUAGUGUGGGGUCUCCCAUGCGAGAGUAGGGAACUGCCAGGC